rnacentral:rRNA from 1 species
UGAGGAAUAUUGGUCAANGGGCGUAAGCCUGAACCAGCCAAGUCGCGUGAAGGAUGACNGCCCUAUGGGUNGUAAACUUCUUUUAUAAAGGAAUAAAGUCGGGUAUGCAUACCCGUUUGCAUGUACUUUAUGAAUAAGGAUCGGCUAACUCCGUGCCAGCAGCCGCGGUAAUACGGAGGAUCCGAGCGUUAUCCGGAUUUAUUGGGUUUAAAGGGAGCGUAGAUGGAUGUUUAAGUCAGUUGUGAAAGUUUGCGGCUCAACCGUAAAAUUGCAGUUGAUACUGGAUAUCUUGAGUGCAGUUGAGGCAGGCGGAAUUCGUGGUGUAGCGGUGAAAUGCUUAGAUAUCACGAAGAACUCCGAUUGCGAAGGCAGCCUGCUAAGCUGCAACUGACAUUGAGGCUCGAAAGUGUGGGUAUCAAAC